rnacentral:rRNA from 1 species
UACGUAGGGUGCGAGCGUUAAUCGGAAUUACUGGGCGUAAAGCGUGCGCAGGCGGUUCGUCGUGUCCGAUGUGAAAGCCCCGGGCUCAACCUGGGAAUGGCAUUGGAAACUGGCGGGCUUGAGUGUGGCAGAGGGGGGUGGAAUUCCGCGUGUAGCAGUGAAAUGCGUAGAGAUGCGGAGGAACACCAGUGGCGAAGGCGGCUCACUGGUCCGGUACUGACGCUGAGGUGCGAAAGCGUGGGGAGCAAACAGG